ensembl:misc_RNA Metazoa_SRP Metazoan signal recognition particle RNA
GCUGGGCAUGGUGGCUCAUGCCUGUAAUCCCAGCACUUUGGGAGGCUGAGGCGGGUGGAUCACCUGAGGUCAGGAGUUCAAGACCAGCCUGGCCAACAUGGUAAAACCCCGUCUCUA